GGUAGGCAGGUAGCUAAUCACAGAAUUUUUUUGGUGAAGCUUUUUUUUCAAAAAGGUUCUGAGGAAAGUCCACCCACCACAAAAGGCUGCUCGCAAGAGUUCCUGAAAAGGAAGGCAACCAUCCAGAAACGACACGGCCAAAGUUUAGGAUGAUAUGGCGAAGUUCUCUGCAAGGGGAAUGAGUUAACCUGUUGACAUUGACUUUGGAUGCGAUGAAACGAUGAGCCCCAGUUGGUGCAAGUCUUAGAGACGCUCAGUUGAAUGAUGCAAACCCUAUAUGGGGUUAGGACUUCAGUCCUCUCCUCUGAUCAAACUCUGAAAGAGUUUGGGUUACAGAAGGUGGCUUAUUCCUGUCUACC
rnacentral:RNase_P_RNA from 1 species